CGCCCACUGUCCGUAUUCGUCUCGGGAGCCAAUUUGUCUCGCGAGAUUCCAGGCCCACUUUUAGCGGAGUCUGGAGGCCACGCGUUCUUUUCUGCGGCGCUGUUGGUGUGAGAAACUUGUAAGACAAAGUGGAUAAAUCAGGAAUGGAUGCUAACUAUAUGAUAUCUGAUACAGCUGUGGAAAUGGAAAAUCAAAGUGAUAGCUCUUCAUCUGGUAGCAGCUUAUUUAGAACACAGUGUGCGCCUUCCUUACCUCAGCGGACUCCAAGAAACCCCAUGAGGAAAUUUGCUCAUAUGCCUGAAAGUGUUCAGACAGAUUCAUCAAGUGACUCAUCCAUAGAACCAAGACCACUAACUUUGAAAGCUAUUUUUGAAAGAUUCAAGAAAAAGAAGAAACGUAAAAAGAGGAAAUACAAGCCAAAGUUAACACCAAGAGGAAGACCAAAAGGAAGAAGAAACAUUAGAAAGUCACAAAUAGAUAAAAAACAAAUUAAAGACAAAGGACCUAGGUUCCCAAUUUUACAGUCUGAGGAUGGAAGGAAACCAUUACCAUGGAGGAAAAUUUUGAGUUUUGAACAAGCUGUUGCAAGAGGAUUUUUUAACUACAUUGAAAAACUGAAGUAUGAACACCACCUUAAGGAAUCAUUAAAACAAAUGAAUGUUAGUGAAGAUUUAGAAAAAGAAGAUCUUGAUAGUCGGAGAUACAAAUACUUGGAUGAUGAUGGAUCCAUUUCUCCUAUUGAAGAGUCAGAAGGAGAAGAUGAGAGAACACAUCUUGAACAUGAUGAAUGUGAUAUCAAGUUGGUAGAGGAGAGUUGUUUCAUAAUAAGUUCUGAAUUUCCAAACAAGAUGAAUGUGUAUUUACAGCAAGAGAAUAAAGCAGCUGCUUUGUCUAAGAAGAGAGUUUCUAAGGCUAGAAAUACUGGGCGGAAGGCAAAAAAGAUCUGAAAAGGAGAUAAAGAUGUGAAUGUCAAGGCUUCUGUUUGAACAUGUGCCUGCAGUUGAAGAUCUGUCUUACUGUGUUGGAUCAUGUUUGUUUAAAUGUAAUAUUUUGCAUGUCUGAGAGCUCUGAACCUACUCUGAAUAGCUUAGGAAAUGAAUAUGAAUUCAUGCAUGUGUUAGAGAAGUAAGUGAAACUUGUAGUUUAUCAAGGACUUAGAAAAAUUGACAAUAAAGGUCUUUGCACAAAUGUGAUACAUAUAUUUAUAAAAUGAAAAAUGGGUGGCUAUCUUUGCACUGUCCUUUGUUUAUUUGGCAGCUGUACAGUUUUUACCCAAAUAUGUAGCAUAUGUAACCUGGGGACACAGCUGAGCAACAGUGAUCCUGACUCUUUUAUUGUAUAUUGAAACCUUGAGAAUUUUUACACAAGCACUUUACACCGAGGUAGUCCUUUGUGAUUUGACUUUUAACUGCAUGUGGAAAUUGAACAGAUAAGAUGUUUAUAAGUAGUGAUCUCAUUAGAAAAUGUAAUAAAUGUUAACUGGAAGUACAGUAGAGGAUCUUUCCUCAAAUGAUUGCACUGAAUGGUAUCUGCACUCAACAGUUUAUUCCUGCUGAUGUGUUCAAAAGACAGUGCGACAGGAAUUCAGUGUGCGGCAUCGUUGGUUUUCUUGGCUUUGUGCAUGUUAAACCUGGUAUUUCUACUGAUACAUUGUUUUUCUAAUACUCAUUUUAUUCAUAGUCAAUAUAAUAUUUUUUUAAUUUAGAGUGUCAGCAAGGCGGCAGAUCCAUCUACCAUAAAUACUCCUAAAAUACAGAUCGUCAGCAGAAAUUGGAUGAUAAGAUCCCAGGUAAGACUUAAGUUUCCAUUUCAAAGACCAAACCUACUUAGAAUUUUUUUGCAACCAAAUCUAUAAGAAAAAUAUCUAGGUUUUAUCGGCAUGGGUGUAUAAUGUUGUGAUGACUGGCAAAAUGUUCAACUGCUCUGAAAGGGCUGAAUGAAAAUAGCCUCUCUGAACAUGAACAUCCGCACUAUUUUAGAAUAUGAGGUCUCUCUGAGGUGUAUUUUACAUUCUCUAAAGUGAUACGAACUAGAUGAAGGUUGAAAUUCUCAGUGUGGGUAUUGGAUUAUAUAGUACUUUGUAAAUGUGAAAUGUUUCCUGAAACAGGAGUUCUGAAGUUGUCACUGUCCGUAAUUCAACUGGAGAUAAAAGAAUUGUGGUAAGUAAUUGUUUUUAUCUUACCUAUAAACCACUGGAUUAUUAUGAUGGUCAUUACCAAGGCUAUUAGAAUGAAGUUUCUCAUUUGCUGUGGACAUGGCCAUAAAAAAAUUUCCCACUAGGUUUUAUGUCUGCUAUCUUGUUAGCAAUCAACCUGUUGGGAACAUUACAUUGCCUAAGUGGACACUGUCAAAUAUGUUUACAAAAGCUACAUGUAAAAUUCUUAGUCUUACCCACCACAAGGAUCUCUAGAACUCACUGACUAUAUGGCUUCUUAUGCAGGAGAGAUGGAAUGAGUGGAUUAAGCAGCACAUUCCUUUAAAAAGGUACGUGCAUGUAACUAUACAGGUCAUUUCAAAGAGGGCUUGUGGGAAUGUGAAACCAAGAGCUCUUAACGCAGUGACCACAGAAUGAAGUUCUCCACAGUACGUCAUAGUCACUCAGUAGUGCUAUGUUUUCCUGAGGAGAAAGACAUGAUAAAGUAUUGAGUUACUGCUCAGCUGUGACUGGAAAAAUACUUAAGAGUUAUAACUAAUGUCUUUUUGCUUUUCAGGGCUAUCUUGAAGAUGACAAUGUUAUUGACUGAACUUAAGGAAUAUUGCAGAAAUCACGUGAAAUUUCUUAAAUAAAAAUUUAUUUAAUGUCCAA